rnacentral:rRNA from 1 species
UAUUACACUUUGUUGCUUUGGCAAGCCUGCCCUCGGGCUGCUGGCUCCGGCCGGCGAGCGCUUGCCAGAGGACCUAAACUCUGUUUGUUUAUACUGUCUGAGUACUAUAUAAUAGUUAAAACUUUCAACAACGGAUCUCUUGGUUCUGGCAUCGAUGAAGAACGCAGCGAAAUGCGAUAAGUAAUGUGAAUUGCAGAAUUCAGUGAAUCAUCGAAUCUUUGAACGCACAUUGCGCCCCCUGGUAUUCCGGGGGGCAUGCCUGUCCGAGCGUCAUUACAACCCUCAAGCUCAGCUUGGUGUUGGGCCCCGCCGCCCCGGCGGGCCCUAAAGUCAGUGGCGGUGCCGUCCGGCUCCGAGCGUAGUAAUUCUUCUCGCUCUGGAGGUCCGGUCGUGUGCUCGCCAGCAACCCCCAAUUUUUUUCAGGUUGACCUCGGAUCAGGUAGGGAUACCCGCUGAACUUAAGCAUAU